rnacentral:rRNA from 1 species
UAGGGAAUAUUGGACAAUGGGGGCAACCCUGAUCCAGCCAUGCCGCGUGAGUGAAGAAGGCCCUCGGGUUGUAAAGCUCUUUUGUCCGGAAAGAAAAGCAUUCGGUGAAUACCCGGAUGUUCUGACGGUACCGGAAGAAUAAGCACCGGCUAACUUCGUGCCAGCAGCCGCGGUAAUACGAAGGGUGCAAGCGUUACUCGGAAUUACUGGGCGUAAAGCGUGCGUAGGUGGUUGUUUAAGUCUGAUGUGAAAGCCCUGGGCUCAACCUGGGAAUGGCAUUGGAAACUGGGCAGCUAGAGUGCGGUAGAGGGUAGUGGAAUUCCCGGUGUAGCAGUGAAAUGCGUAGAGAUGUGGAGGAACACCGAUGGCGAAGGCAGCCCCCUGGGCCUGUACUGACGCUCAUGCACGAAAGCGUGGGGAGCAAACA